rnacentral:lncRNA from 1 species
GCAGCAAGGGUGUGGAUCACAUGCAUCUUCAUCAGCGACCCCGUUUAUCUUUCUAUAGAGUUUGUAUCCUAGCAUUUCUAGACUUCGCCUUCGGGAUAGUAGCAUUGAGCCAGAUGGUCCCCUUCUACGCACGCUUCAGAUUCAUAGGAGGAUGAUGAUUCGGAUGAAUUACGGUGUGAUUGUUAUUAUAGGAUGAUCAUCAAGCGUGAGGGCAAUAAGUAAGAUUUAUUUAUUACUUAUUUAUUUUUGUUGAAUUAUAAUAGCUACUCUUGUUUAUUUAAUGUAACGUAAUUGCUAUGUUGCAGGUUCAUACCUAAUCAUCG